rnacentral:rRNA from 1 species
GUCGAGGGGCAGCGGGGGCGAAGCUUGCUUCGCCUGCCGGCGACCGGCGCACGGGUGAGUAACACGUAUGCAACCUACCCCCUGCAGGGGAAUAACCCGGAGAAAUCCGGACUAAUACCACACGGCACUUUCGGGAGGCAUCUUCUGAGGGUUAAAGGAGCGAUCCGGCCGGGGAUGGGCAUGCGGCGCAUUAGCUAGUCGGCGGGGUAACGGCCCACCGAGGCGACGAUGCGUAGGGGUUCUGAGAGGAAGGUCCCCCACACUGGUACUGAGACACGGACCAGACUCCUACGGGAGGCAGCAGUGAGGAAUAUUGGUCAAUGGGCGGGAGCCUGAACCAGCCAAGUCGCGUGAGGGACGACGGUCCUAUGGAUUGUAAACCUCUUUUGUCGGGGAACAAAGGCGCCCACGGGUGGGCGGAUGAGUGUACCCGAAGAAAAAGCAUCGGCUAACUCCGUGCCAGCAGCCGCGGUAAUACGGAGGAUGCGAGCGUUAUCCGGAUUUAUUGGGUUUAAAGGGUGCGUAGGCGGACGGUCAAGUCAGCGGUAAAAAUGCGGUGCUCAACGCCGUACAGCCGUUGAAACUGGCAGUCUUGAGUGGGCGAGAAGUAUGCGGAAUGCGUGGUGUAGCGGUGAAAUGCAUAGAUAUCACGCAGAACUCCGAUUGCGAAGGCAGCAUACCGGCGCCCUACUGACGCUGAGGCACGAAAGCGUGGGUAUCGAACAGGAUUAGAUACCCUGGUAGUCCACGCAGUAAACGAUGAAUGCUAAUUGUCCGGAGGGAUUGACCUCUGGGUGAUACAGCGAAAGCGUUAAGCAUUCCACCUGGGGAGUACGUC